CGCAGGCUCUCGUGGGCGGGGUUACUGAACAGGAGCAGCCCCUGGGUGACCGCGGCCCCCGCGGCCACGGCCGGGUCGGGCAGCGCGGGGUCAAAGGUCACGGCGGCCGGGGGCAGCGUCUCCCCCCCGUCCCAGCUCCGCGCCACCAUCCGGCACCGGCACCGGAACUGGUUCUGGUUCCGGAUGCUGACGGCGAUGGAACCGUCCGGAAGCUCGUAGGGCUGGGGGGGGAGACAUGGGGAGACCCCUCCUCAAAAUGAGAGAGAGAAAUGGGGGGGACAUGGGGAGACCCCUCCUCAAAAUGAGAGAAUAAAUGGGGGGACCCCUCCCCAAAAUGAGAGAGAGAAAUGGGGGAGACCCCUCCCCAAAAUGAGAAAUAGGGGGGGAAAAAAGGGGGAGACCCCUCCUCAAAAUGAGAGAGAGAAAUGGGGGGGGGACAUGGGGAGACCCCUCCCCAAAAUCAGAAAUGGGGGUAAACAGCGGGGACCCCUCCCCAAAAUGAGAGAAUAAACGGGGGGACCCGUCCUCAAAAUGAGAGGAUAAACGGGGGGACCCCUCCCCAAAAUGAGAGGAUAAACGGGGGAGACCCCUCCUCAAAAUGAGAAAUGGGGGGUGGGAAACAGGGGAACCCCUCCCCAAAAUGAGAGAGAAUAAACGGGGGGGGGAGUAAAUCA
rnacentral:lncRNA from 1 species